CCUACGGGUGGCUGCAGUGAGGAAUAUUGGUCAAUGGGCGGAAGCCUGAACCAGCCAAGUAGCGUGCAGGAUGACGGCCCUACGGGUUGUAAACUGCUUUUAUACGGGAAUAAAGCGCCUUACGUGUAGGGCUUUGCAUGUACCGGAGGAAUAAGGACCGGCUAAUGCCGGGCCAGCAGCCGCGGUAAUACGGAAGGUCCGGGCGUUAUCCGGAUUUAUUGGGGUUAAAGGGAGCGUAGGCCGCAUGUAAAGCGUGCUGUGAAAUGUCCGGGCUCCACCCGGGCCUUGCAGCGCUAACGGGCGUGCUUGAUUCCGCGGAAAGCAGGCGGACUUCGUCGUGUAGCGGU
rnacentral:rRNA from 1 species